CCCGGGACGCUCAGCGCCUGCUCCGGCUCCAGCUGAGCGCGGCUCCCGGCCCCGAGCGCUUCCGCCUCGGCCUCCGCGGCGGCCCCGACUCGGGCCCUGAGCCGAGCCUGGUGGAGUACGGCCUGAAGGAGAUCUCGUACGAGGCCAAGAGCGGCACCUGCCACGAGCUGAAGGUCCUCGCGCGGCCCGACGACCCGCUGGUCUUCCACUUCGAGGACGAGCAGGAGGCGCAGGCCUGGUGGGCGGUGCUCAGCAGCUCCCUCCGCGAAGUGCACCAAGCUCCUGAAGGAACCAACGGGCUCACCGGACGGCCCUCUUCCCAGCCUUUGGCUGCCUCUCUGCCUUUGGAGACGGCGAAGAAAGGUUAGUGCAGGCUGCUGCCUAGUAAGUAGCCUGGCAACAAGUGAACUCGGUUCGUUCCGUUAUGGGCUCAGGAUAGUUAAAUUGAAAUAUGUGCAGUGAAACAGACAAACGUGUCCUUCUUAAAAUCUCAGCGGUUCUUUUUUGCCUCUUGGCAG
rnacentral:lncRNA from 1 species